rnacentral:tRNA from 1 species
GGGAAUGUGGCUUAGUGGUAAAGUGUUUGCUUAGCAUGCAUCAAGCCCUGGGUUCAAUUCCUCAGUACCA